rnacentral:misc_RNA from 1 species
AUUCGCACAUGGUCAAUGACAGUGUUGGAAAAUGUGAAUUCUCUUGUUGGAAAAUCAGCUACUCCAGAUUAUCUGAAAAAGCUCACAUACCUUUGUUGGAACCAUCACAAAGCUGUUAGACACAUCGAUACCGUUCGGGCUUACACUUUUGGAUCUCACUACUUUGUUGAGGUUGAUAUUGUACUGCCUGCUAGCAUGCCCUUGCAAGAGGCUCAUGAUAUUGGGGAAUCCUUACAAGUGAAGCUUGAGCUGCUGCCAGAGAUAGAGCGUGCCUUUGUUCACCUUGAUUAUGAGUACACACACAAGCCUGA